rnacentral:rRNA from 1 species
GACGAACGCUGGCGGCGUGCCUAAUACAUGCAAGUAGAACGCACAGUUUAUACCGUAGCUUGCUACACCAUAGACUGUGAGUUGCGAACGGGUGAGUAACGCGUAGGUAACCUGCCUGGUAGCGGGGGAUAACUAUUGGAAACGAUAGCUAAUACCGCAUAAUAUUAAUUAUUGCAUGAUAAUUAAUUGAAAGGUGCAAUUGCACCACUACCAGAUGGACCUGCGUUGUAUUAGCUAGUAGGGGAGGUAACGGCUCACCUAGGCGACGAUACAUAGCCGACCUGGGAGGGUGAUCGGCCACACUGGGACUGAGACACGGCCCAGACGCCUGCGGGAGGCAGCAGUAGGGAAGCUUCGGCAAUGGACGAAAGUCUGACCGAGCAACGCCGCGUGAGUGAAGAAGGGUUUCGGAUCGUAAAGCUCUGUUGUAAGAGAAGAACGGGUGUGAGAGUGGAAAGUUCACACUGUGACGGUAUCUUACCAGAAAGGGACGGCUAACUACGUG